UAGCUGGUCUGAGAGGAUGAUCAGCCACACUGGAACUGAGACACGGUCCAGACUCCUACGGGAGGCAGCAGUGGGGAAUAUUGGACAAUGGGCGCAAGCCUGAUCCAGCCAUGCCGCGUGGGUGAAGAAGGCCUUCGGGUUGUAAAGCCCUUUUGUUGGGAAAGAAAAGCAGUCGGUUAAUACCCGAUUGUUCUGACGGUACCGUAAGAAUAAGCACCGGCUAACUUCGUGCCAGCAGCCGCGGUAAUACGAAGGGUGCAAGCGUUACUCGGAAUUACUGGGCGUAAAGCGUGCGUAGGUGGUUGUUAAGUCUGUCGUGAAAGCCCUGGGCUCAACCUGGGAAUGGCGAUGGAUACUGGCUGACUAGAGUGCGGUAGAGGGUAGCGGAAUUUCCGGUGUAGCAGUGAAAUGCGUAGAGAUCGGGAGGAACAUCCGUGGCGAAGGCGACUACCUGGACCAGCACUGACACUGAGGCACGAAAGCGUGGGGAGCAAACAGGAUUAGA
rnacentral:ncRNA from 1 species